rnacentral:lncRNA from 1 species
GAUUUAAUCAUUUCUUCAGAGGUGUAUCAAGUCAUAGCUGUUCAACAAAAUCUUCAGUGAAAUACUUGCUGUUCAGAUCUUCCUGCAUCUUUACACUUUCAUUGCAGUUACUUUUUAUCACUAAUUUUGUACUAAAUGAAUUCUACCUUGUAUUUUUCUUAAUUAUUAUGUUUCAGUGUUUUAGUUCUACACAUGGAUAAUAAUUGAAGAACAAAACCAUGAUUUUUGUAUAACCCUCUUUCCUUAAAAUAUAUAUAGCAUAAUUCAGAACAGAUGUUCAUAUGAUGCUUUCAUAGAUGUUCAAUAAAUUAUUUGUUGAAUAAGU